GCGUUGUCCGGAAUUAUUGGGCGUAAAGAGCUCGUAGGCGGUCUGUCACGUCGGAUGUGAAAACUCGGGGCUCAACCCCGAGCCUGCAUUCGAUACGGGCAGACUAGAGUUCGGUAGGGGAGACUGGGAUUCCUGGUGUAGCGGUGAAAUGCGCAGAUAUCAGGAGGAACACCGGUGGCGAAGGCGGGUCUCUGGGCCGAAACUGACGCUGAGGAGCGAAAGCGUG
rnacentral:rRNA from 1 species